CUGAGAUGUUGGAAUUGGCCCACUGAUGCUGUUCUGGCCUGUUGCACUUGGCAUCUUUGCCUCAAACGCUGCUUGGAGAAUGAACGGGCCAUCUUGGAAGCAAUUGAGUUGGACGCUGCAGCUACAAUUGGAAUUGGGCCGCUGCACAUGCUUUGUCUUUGGGCUGGUUGCUACUGAUUGGAUUUGGGAUGGCACCCACAUUAGUGGAACGGUGCCGUUUGGAGGCUGUGAGCUGCUUGGGGGUCUCAGUUUUGCGAUUCAUUUGUAAAGCACAAUCAGAGUUUCAAUUUGGAGAGAUUGAGAGGAGCGAGAGAAAAAAAAAAAAAGAGAAACCCUUCGAGCUAGGGUAGAGAAAAGAAGAGCAAGCAAGUUGAAGCUAGAGUUGGAGCGAGUCUCGUCCUGCCAAGAGAUGAUCGGAGCUACGUUGGUGAGGAUCGGAUGGACAAGAUUUGAGCUCGUGAGCAAAGUGAAGAAUGUCGUCCGAUU
rnacentral:lncRNA from 1 species